GACGAACGCUGGCGGCGUGCUUAACACAUGCAAGUCGAGCGGAAAGGCCCUUCGGGGUACUCGAGCGGCGAACGGGUGAGUAACACGUGAGCAACCUGCCCUGGACUUUGGGAUAACCCUCGGAAACGGGGGCUAAUACCGGAUAUGACCUUGGACCGCAUGGUUUGGGGUGGAAAGUUUUUCGGUCUGGGAUGGGCUCGCGGACUAUCAGCUUGUUGGUGGGGUGAUGGCCUACCAAGGCGACGACGGUUAGCCGGCCNGAGAGGGCGACCGGCCACACUGGGACUGAGACACGGCCCAGACUCCUACGGGAGGCAGCAGUGGGGAAUAUUGCACAAUGGGCGGAAGCCUGAUGCAGCGACGCCGCGUGAGGGAUGACGGCCUU
rnacentral:rRNA from 1 species